rnacentral:ribozyme from 1 species
UAGAAACUACUAUGACUAAAACAAAAAUGAAUUCAUUUAAAACUAUUGGUUAUCAGUUUCAAUUUUGUUACUAUUAUCAUUUAGCACGUUUUUUGGUUAUUUUCUUCAUUUUUCCGGCCCCAGCUCGUCCCUUUUUCUUUCUAAACGAGGAAGCUCCAAGUCCGUCAUU